AUGGUCAACGGCCGGCAGACGGGGAGCAAAAAGGUUCUGGUGCUGCACACCAACAAGAACUUUGACCAGCAGAGGACCAACUGGGUGAUGCACCAGUACCACCUCUGGGACCUGGAGCAAGAGAAGGAGCGGGAGCUAGUCCUCUGCAAUAUUUUCUACCAGACGAACACUAGGGCCAGGAGUAAAAAGGUCGAGCAAGUUUCAACUGGGUUGUAG
rnacentral:rRNA from 1 species